CCUGUGUGACUGCGUACCUUUUGUAUAAUGGGUCAGCGACUUAUAUUCUGUAGCAAGGUUAACCGAAUAGGGGAGCCGUAGGGAAACCGAGUCUUAAUCGGGCGUUAAGUUGCAGGGUAUAGACCCGAAACCCGGUGAUCUAGCCAUGGGCAGGUUGAAGGUUGGGUAACACUAACUGGAGGACCGAACCGACUAAUGUUGAAAAAUUAGCGGAUGACCUGUGGCUGGGGGUGAAAGGCCAAUCAAACCGGGAGAUAGCUGGUUCUCCCCGAAAGCUAUUUAGGUAGCGCCUCGUGAAUUCAUCUCCGGGGGUAGAGCACUGUUUCGGCUAGGGGGCCAUCCCGGCUUACCAACCCGAUGCAAACUGCGAAUACCGGAGAAUGUUAUCACGGGAGACACACGGCGGGUGCUAACGUCCGUCGUGAAGAGGGAAACAACCCAGACCGCCAGCUAAGGUCCCAAAGUCAUGGUUAAGUGGGAAACGAUGUGGGAAGGCCCAGACAGCCAGGAUGUUGGCUUAGAAGCAGCCAUCAUUUAAAGAAAGCGUAAUAGCUCACUGGUCGAGUCGGCCUGCGCGGAAGAUGUAACGGGGCUAAACCAUGCACCGAAGCUGCGGCAGCGACGCUGAUGCGUUGUUGGGUAGGGGAGCGUUCUGUAAGCCUGCGAAGGUGGCCUGUGAGGGUUGCUGGAGGUAUCAGAAGUGCGAAUGCUGACAUAAGUAACGAUAAAGCGGGUGAAAAGCCCGCUCGCCGGAAGACCAAGGGUUCCUGUCCAACGUUAAUCGGGGCAGGGUGAGUCGACCCCUAAGGCGAGGCCGAAAGGCGUAGUCGAUGGGAAACGGGUUAAUAUUCCCGUACUUGGUGUUACUGCGAAGGGGGGACGGAGAAGGCUAUGUUGGCCGGGCGACGGUU
rnacentral:rRNA from 1 species